rnacentral:rRNA from 1 species
AAUGAACGCUGGCGGCAGGCCUAACACAUGCAAGUCGGGCGAGCGGCAGACGGGUGAGUAAUGUAUGGGGAUCUGCCUGAUGGAGGGGGAUAACUACUGGAAACGGUAACUAAUACCGCAUACCAUCAGCUGAACCCAUAUGGGAUGCGCUGGUAGGUAAGGUAACGGCUUACCGAGGCGACGAGCCCUAGCUGGUCUGAGAGGAUGAUGGGCCACACUGGUACUGAGACACGGCCCAGACUCCUACGGGAGGCAGCAGUGGGGAAUAUUGCACAAUGGGCGCAAGCCUGAUGCAGCCAUGCCGCGGGUAUGAAGAAGGCCUUCGGGUUGUAAAGUACUUUCAGUCGGGAGGCGUUACCGACAGAAGAAGCACCGGCUAACUCCGUGCCAGCAGCCGCGGUAAUUC